AUUGAACGCUGGCGGCAUGCCUUACACAUGCAAGUCGAACGGCAGCACGGGAGCAAUCCUGGUGGCGAGUGGCGAACGGGUGAGUAAUAUAUCGGAACGUGCCCAGUCGUGGGGAUAACGUAGCGAAAGCUACGCUAAUACCGCAUACGAUCUAUGGAUGAAAGCGGGGGAUCGCAAGACCUCGCGCGAUUGGAGCGGCCGAUAUCAGAUUAGGUAGUUGGUGAGGUAAAGGCUCACCAAGCCGACGAUCUGUAGCUGGUCUGAGAGGACGACCAGCCACACUGGGACUGAGACACGGCCCAGACUCCUACGGGAGGCAGCAGUGGGGAUUUUGGACAAUGGGCGCAAGCCUGAUCCAGCAAUGCCGCGUGCAGGAUGAAGGCCUUC
rnacentral:rRNA from 1 species